rnacentral:rRNA from 1 species
AUGCACGCUGGCGGCGUGCCUCAUCCAUGCAAGUAGAACGCUGAAGGAAGGAGCUUGCUCUUUCCGGAUGAGUUGCGAACGGGUGAGUAACGCGUAGGUAACCUGCCUGGUAGCGGGGGAUAACUAUUGGAAACGAUAGCUAAUACCGCAUAACAGUAGAUGUUGCAUGAUAUCUACUUAAAAGGUGCAAUUGCACCACUACCAGAUGGACCUGCGUUGUAUUAGCUAGUUGGUGAGGUAACGGCUCACCAAGGCGACGAUACAUAGCCGACCUGAGAGGGUGAUCGGCCACACUGGGACUGAGACACGGCCCAGACUCCUACGGGAGGCAGCAGUAGGGAAUCUUCGGCAAUGGACGGAAGUCUGACCGAGCAACGCCGCGUGAGUGAAGAAGGUUUUCGGAUCGUAAAGCUCUGUUGUAAGAGAAGAACGAGUGUGAGAGUGGAAAGUUCACACUGUGACGGUAUCUUACCAGAAAGGGACGGCUAACUACGUG